GACGAACGCUGGCGGCGUGCUUAACACAUGCAAGUCGAACGGAAAGGCCCUGCUUUUGUGGGGUGCUCGAGUGGCGAACGGGUGAGUAACACGUGAGUAACCUGCCCUUGACUUUGGGAUAACUUCAGGAAACUGGGGCUAAUAACGGAUAGGAGCUCCUGCUGCAUGGUGGGGGUUGGAAAGUUUCGGCGGUUGGGGAUGGACUCGCGGCUUAUCAGCUUGUUGGUGGGGUAGUGGCUUACCAAGGCUUUGACGGGUAGCCGGCCUGAGGGGGUGACCGGCCACAUUGGGACUGAGAUACGGCCCAGACUCCUACGGGAGGCAGCAGUGGGGAAUAUUGCACAAUGGGCGGAAGCCUGAUGCAGCAACGCCGCGUGCGGGAUGACGGCCUUCGGGUUGUAAACCGCUUUCGCCUGUGACGAAGCGUGAGUGACGGUAAUGGGUAAAGAAGCACCGGCUAACUACGUG
rnacentral:rRNA from 1 species